rnacentral:rRNA from 1 species
ACUCCUACGGGAGGCAGCAGUGAGGAAUAUUGGACAAUGGAUGGAAAUCUGAUCCAGCCAUGCCGCGUGCAGGAAGACGGCCCUAUGGGUUGUAAACUGCUUUUGUAUGGGAGCAAUAAGGUCUAUGCGUAGACUGAUGAGAGUACCAUACGAAUAAGCAUCGGCUAACUCCGUGCCAGCAGCCGCGGUAAUACGGGGGAUGCAAGCGUUAUCCGGAUUUAUUGGGUUUAAAGGGUGCGUAGGCGGUUUGAUAAGUCAGCGGUGAAAUAUUUCAGCUUAACUGAAAGGGUGCCGUUGAUACUGUCAGGCUUGAAUAUGGUUGCUGUGGGUGGAAUGUGUGGUGUAGCGGUGAAAUGCUUAGAUAUCACACAGAAUAUCGAUUGCGAAGGCAGCUCACAAAGCCAUUAUUGACGCUGAUGCACGAAAGUGUGGGGAUCAAACAGGAUUAGAUACCCUGGUAGUCCACACUGUAAACGAUGAUAACUCGCUGUCGGCGAUACACAGUCGGUAGCCAAGCGAAAGCGAUAAGUUAUCCACCUGGGGAGUACGACCGCAAGGUUGAAACUCAAAGGAAUUGACGGA